AGCAAACCACAGAAACGGCGUCCCAGUUCGGAUUGCAGCCUGCAACUCGGCUGCAUGAAGCUGGAAUCGCUAGUAAUCGCGGAUCAGAAUGCCGCGGUGAAUACGUUCCCGGGUCUUGUACACACCGCCCGUCACACCAUGGGAGUCGGGAAUGCCCGAAGUCAGUGACCCAACCGAAAGGGGGGAGCUGCCGAAGGCAGGCCUGGUAACUGGGGUGAAGUCGUAACAAGGUAUC
rnacentral:rRNA from 1 species